rnacentral:rRNA from 1 species
CCUACAGGAGGCAGCAGUGGGGGAUAUUGCACAAUGGGGGGAACCCUGAUGCAGCGACGCCGCGUGGGUGAAGAAGCGCCUCGGCGCGUAAAGCCCUGUCAGCAGGGAAGAAACUGACGGUACCUGAAGAAGAAGCACCGGCUAACUACGUGACAGCAGCCGCGGUAAUACGUAGGGGGCAAGCGUUAUCCGGAUUUACUGGGUGUAAAGGGGGCGGAGUCGGAGAUGCAAGCCAGGAGUGAAAGCCCGGGGCCAAACCCCGGCACUGAUCUGGGAAGUGCUUGGCUGGAGUGCAGGAGGGGCAGGCGGAAUUCCUGGUGUAGCGGUGAAAUGCGUAGAUAGCAGGAGGAACACCGAUGGCGAAGGCGGCCUGCUGGACUGCAACUGACGUUGAGGCCCGAAAGCGUGGGGAGCGAACAGGAUUAGAUACCCUAGUAGUC